GACAGCAGUCGCCGCGGUAAUACGUAGGUCCCGGGCGUUGUCCGGAUUUAUUGGGCGUAAAGCGAGCGCAGGCGGUUAGAAAAGUCUGAAGUGAAAGGCAGUGGCUCAACCAUUGUAGGCUUUGGAAACUGUUUAACUUGAGUGCAGAAGGGGAGAGUGGAAUUCCAUGUGUAGCGGUGAAAUGCGUAGAUAUAUGGAGGAACACCGGUGGCGAAAGCGGCUCUCUGGCUUGUAACUGACGCUGAGGCUCGAAAGCGUGGGGAGCAAACAGGAUUAGAUACCCGAGUAGUCCCUGUCUCUUAUACA
rnacentral:rRNA from 1 species